rnacentral:sRNA from 2 species
UCUACGGGGAGUAGCCGUCCGCGCGACAGCGGAGCCCGCGUCAACAGACUUGGCCGAUCCGGCCAUGGCGCAGGCGGCGGACCUUCAGGGGUCCGGAU